rnacentral:misc_RNA from 1 species
GGAAGUACAAGUCGUAACAAGGUCUCCGUUGGUGAACCAGCGGAGGGAUCAUUACAGGACUCGCAAGACUCCUUCACCCUGCGAACCUCACUACAAGCACGUUGCUUCGGCGGGUGUCCCGGCGGGGGUUUUCCCUCGCCGGGGCGCACAGCCCGCCGGCAGCCUACUAUACUCUGUCUCUUUGCGUUGGCAUCUCGAGAAAAAACAAACAAGUUAAAACUUUCAACAACGGAUCUCUUGGUUCUG